GUUCAUUGAAUAAAUGAACCUAUAAAGUAGUUUUUUACUUAGAACAGUGAUCGAAGUAAGUAAUGUGUUUGUGUGACAUAGAGUUGAGUGACGUUGGCCAAUCACAAUGUCAUAAUGCUUGUGUUUCUAUUUCAUUAUGAUUGACCAAUAUCACCGAUGUCACCUAACUCUACGUCGGACAAGUGCCAUCCGUUUCAGCCUUGUUCGUGCUUGUUUUGGACCAGACAUAAUCCCUAACUCUAUUUUUAUUUUAUUUUACAUUAAGAAAAUAAAAAUCUGUUUCUAUUUGGACACGGUGGAGGAUCUUGGUGCUGUGAUUGGUUAGAAACGAACCAUUUCGUUCCCUCUUAUUCUCUGUUGCGAGAAGUACAGUACAAACUCGUCUAUGCUUGCAUAAAGCCAAUCACCUUCUCGCAUUCCAACGCGAUUCAUUAUUCACUCGACAAUUCUACCCACCGAUCCGUUUUCGUCUCUUCCUCCUUUUCGCCGUCGUCCUCAUGCCAUAUCUUCACCGUUUCGCCACCGAUUCUCCUGCUUCUGAUCAAAAUUCCGGUUAACGAUCUACAAAAAUCUCUCUAGAAAAGAUGCAUGAUGAAGUGGAGUUUUUUCUUCAGCUUGGCUAUGCAGCUGCAACAAUAGCAAGAGUCUUACAUACACUUGUCUCGCGUUUUAUCAUUUAUUAAAGGACACCCAGAAGAAUUAUUGUAUUCUUGGUUUUCCCGUCUUUGCGACUACUCAUCCAUUUUAACGUUCUCACCUCUGUGCUGGCGGUGGCGGAGCCACUCUUAAGUGAGUGGAUUCAAGUGAACCCCCCAGAGUUUUAAAACUUUGCACAUAUAAUUCACUUUUUUCUCAUUUUGAACACGCUCAGUUUUUCAUAUUGAACUGCUAAUUUUUCACUCUCAUUCUAAACAUGUGGUGGUACAAUUUUGUUUUCUGUGCUAUCAUAAUAUUACUAUUGUUAUCAUUAUUUAUAUUAGAAUUUAGAACUAAAAUUGAAAGUCUCAAUCCAGAGGUCUCAGGUUCGAUUCCCUCUGGUGUCAAUUUCGGUGGAGUCCAUACAGAGCUUGCUCUGGCUUUAAAUGGGCCCCCCCGCAAGUGGGCGGUGGGAUUGGUCCCCUCGGAUUAGUCGAUUAUUGGAUCGGAUACCGAGUUUUCAAAAAAAAUAAAAAAAUAAAAAAAAUUGAAAGUCUCAAUCAAAGCGCCUUGUCAUUAGAAGGUUAAAAUAAAAUACCCACUAGGCUAUCACACUAUAGAUUUUAUAAUUUAUUUGUUAUGUUUGUUUUAAAAUUUAAGCAAUACUCAGUCAUUGCUUAUAUUUAAGUUAUGAGUUUUUAUCAGUUAAAUUGAUAUGAUUUAAAAUGAUGAAACAAUAGUCGACCCAUGUUUGUUCAGUUGGUAAAAAGUUGACUCACACCUUAUAAGGGCUUGGUUUAGCUUUCGUUGCCAGUGUAAGGACCUUGUUUGUGGAUAAUCUGUAAGUACAUAUGUUAGGGAUCUCUGAACCUUAAGAUCUGUCCUGACCAAUAUGAGCUCUUGAAGACCCAACUCACCUAAACUUUUCUUUACCAAAAGAUGAAGAUGAAAUCCUAAAAAAAUUAUGGAACAGUUCACAUAGAAUACAAUUCUAUUGAGAAAUACAUGCAUGUUCAGGUAUUUAAUAAUAACAAUCCUUAUUAUUAAGGUAGUAGUGUAUAAUUUUUAAGGUAGUAGUAUAUUAAUAUUAAGGUAGUAGCAUAUAGUUUGUAAGGUAGUAUUAUAUAAUUUUUUGAUUUAAUUCAUAUGCAAAGACAGUGUGAAGAUAUUUUACACUUUAAUUGUCAGAUUAAUAGACACAUUUCACUUUAAUUUGCCGGCGCUAAUAUUAUUGUAAUAAUAAUAAUAAUAAUAAUAAUAAUAAUAAUAAUAAUUAUUAUUAUUAUUAUUAUCAUCAUCAUCAUCAGCAUCAUCAUUAUUAUUACUUUAAAUGAUUUGAGUACAAAGUAAUUUUUUGUAUAUGUAUUAUUUUUAUAUAUUAUUAUAGUUUUUUUUGAAGGAAUAUUAUUUUAUAUAUUAUUAUAGUUUUUGUUGAAGGAAUAUUAUUAUAGUUAUUAAUUAAAGUUAAAAAGUUUGAACCCCCCAGAUCCAGGGUUCUGUCAACGCCACUGUAUGUGAAUUAACUUUUUCGUUGAUUUUUUAUUGUCCAACAUUGAAUCUCGUAUAUGAUUCUUUAUUAGAAUACAUGAACAAUAUCUCAUAAUAUCUAAAUUAUAUCUUACAGUAAUUUAGACACCUUAGAUAGCAUUGUUUUCCAUAUUUUAUUAUUUGUAUACUUAUGAAAUGUAAAAUUAGGAAUAGUGUAAGUAUUAAUAAGGAUUACUAUCUUGACAUUUGAAAUAACAUCCAAUAUAUCAUUGACAUUAAUACCAAUAUAAUUUUAUUGUUUUAAGUGCUGGAAGAUAGAAAAUUAUUUUAUAAUAUCUUGAUAUUACCUUAGAGCAUCUUACACUACCUUUUAGAAUUAGCGUCUUAUCUUUGAAUAUCUCUUAAGAUUAGUUUCAUAUUUCUUUGCUUUCACGAUGCUUUGUUUCCCUAUUUAAUUAGGAUUUGGAGUGUUGUAUUUAUAUAAAUAGAGUUAAUGUUUAGUCUUUUUGUAUCAAAUCCUAAUAAUCAUUUAAACCAUAUUUAUAGCACAAAAUCUUUAAUUUAUCUAUUCUCUUCACAUCUAAAACCCUAUAGCUGCAACUAGCAUCAAUGAGCUUAUAAUUUGUUGAUAAUAUCAUCUUAGGUGAUCUUGUAGGAUAAGUUUCUUACAGUAGAGGACCUAUGAAUAUCUCUUGAGAGUAGUUUUCAUAGCUCUUUGUUUUUAUCCUGAUUUUGUUUCUUGAAUACGUAUCUACGAGUAUUGUCCUUGUAUGAUAUCAGAUAUGGGUAUGACACGGUGGGCUUCUUAUGCAACAACCAGUGUAUAACAAAAUCAUUGUAAUGAAAAUGUUGGGCCUGUCUUGGGAUUUAGUUUUUUGUCGACUCAAAAUGAAACUAAUUAAACCUGCGUGCUGUCUAGUGUAAACCAUAAAUUGUUGGACAAAAAGAGGUCUGCAAACCUAGGCUAGAUGCUUUAUGUUAAAUUUAGAAAGUCUAGCGUAAGCCAUAAAUUGUGUUCUCCAGCUGGAGAACUCGUAUUUAAUUACAAGUUGGAUCUCAGCGCAGUAAAUUUGCUAACUACAAUAUAAACUUUUAUCCUAAUGAAGAAGAUAAGAAAAUAACAAUUACACUUGAGUAUGAGGUUGUGGUUUACACCUGAGGUAUCUUUAAUUAAGGAAAGGAAAUGGUUUAUAACUGAAAUAUCUAACAACUAAUUACUAGCAUUUUCCAUUUAAAAAUAUGGUUUACACCCGAGGGAAAUAAAUUCUCUCAUGUGUGAUUUCUCAUGUGUAAAUCACACAUGAGAGGAUAAAGUGUGAUUUCUCACUAUUCAUCAAGAGAGAGAAACACAUGAGGAAUUUAGAUGAAUUGAGAUUGAAUAGUGAUAUAUCACACUUUACCCUCUCUCUUGUGUAAUAAAUUAUACAUGAGAAUCCAUUCCCACACCAGAGGUAUCUUAAUUAAGGAAAGAAAAAUAGUUACAAAGGUAUAAAUGUACAAUUACACAACUGAUUUAAUAACCAGAGAACAUUUUGGUCAAAACUUGUCUUCUCCAUCCACAUAUUUCUAAUAUAAAUAGUGUUUGAUUACAAGAUUUUUUUGACUCAAUUACAAUCUGAUUUGUUGGCCCUUCAAAUUAGUAAAUUACCAUAUAUAGAUAUAUCUUAGUAUGAAGUGAAUAACAAUUAAACCUACACCUGAGGCAUCCUGAUUAAGAAGAGAAUAUAAGUUACAAAGGUAUAUAUGAAUGUUGAUGCCUGAAGAUAUAAGGGAAUUGUCAACUAGCUGAUAUGGGCUGGUAGAAGCUAUUGGGUAUCCUGUUGUUUAACCUAUUUUGAAAAUUAUUACUCUUAUUGUGUUGAGUUUCAAAUAGGCUUGCUUAUAUUGUUGCAUUCUUUCCCUUCUUGAUAAUAUAUUCUUUAUGAAAAAGUGAUUUGUAAAAUUUUAGGGCCUGGCCUUGAUUGAUUCAAGAUUUUUUUUCUUUUCCAUUUCCUUUUUUUUGCAUUCACAAAACUAUGACUCUGUUUUCUCUUUGUUUAUUGUUUUCAAGUAUUUGCAAAGGAACCAGUGAAAACAAUUUCACUUUUUUUUUAUAUAAUUUUGCUUUCACUUUUUCCUGUACAAAAUAUUUGAUAAAAGGAAACAAAGCCAAAAAGGUGACUGUUUUGCAAAUAAAAGCCAACACAAAAUGAAAUCAUUUUUUGAAACCAAAUAGACCCUUGCAACUUGCAGCAAUGUUUUAUAUUUACCCAAAUCUACCAUCACUCCCUAAGUUCCGCUUUCUAACAUUUCAUUUUCUUGCAACACGGCUUUUAGCGAAUGUAACAUUUGAGAUGGUAGGCAGGAGAGGAGGGCUAGUGAAAUGGUUUGGUAAAAAAUUUGCUUUCAAGAUGAAGCAGAAGGCUGAUGAUGGAAAUUGUCAGGUCUCGAAACACUGGCCAUCUCUCACUAGUAUAAAAUUUCACAUGGUACAAAAUCAAUCUGGAUGACCCAGUUCAGUUUGACCCAUGGCAGGCUUUACUGCUUUUCCAUGGCUGCUUGCUGGUAGUUAGUUCUACUAAAUGUAUUCUUGUUAGGUCCCUCCCCUUGUGCCAAUGAAUCAUGCAAUUAGAAGUUUUUGAAUGAUUAUUGGUGUUGCUCUUGAAACUUGCAGUAUGCUUGAAUACGAACUUUAAAAUCAUUCUAUAAAGGGUUAAAUAUGUUUUUAGUCCCUACAAAAUUCACGGUCAUUCAAGUUUAAUUCCUACAAAUUUUUUGUUGAAUUUUAAUCCUUAAUUUUUUUUUGUAGGUACUGAAAGUAGUCAAUUUUUGUUAAAAUUACAAAUAAGGACUAAAAUUUGAGCAAAUAUUUUGCAGGGACUAAAUUUAAAAAUUCAUAAUUUUAUAGGAAUGAAAAUAUAUUUAACCUUUCUAUAAACACCAAUGUCCUUUUUGAUCCAUGUAAUGUUAAUACCUUAGUUUAAUGGGAAAUGCUAAAGAGUGCCAAGAGGAUAAAAAUAGAAAUAUUGCAUUGGAAAAUGAUGAAAAGUGGAGAAUUUGACUUUUGAAAAGUGAAAAUAUUGUUGAAUACAAUACAAACCUACUAAUUUUGGUUUCCUUAACAAGUGCCCUAAGGGCAAGGGCACUUGUUAGCAUAACCCUAGUUUAAUUAGGAAUUACUUGUGCAUUUGAUUUAAAUCACACACAGCCCUACAGUUACCAAUUUUUUAAGGACAGACAGAGUUAUUUGAAUAUUCACGUCACCUAUGAAAAUAUUGGAACUACAAAAUCAAUAUUUUAUUUCCACUAUCUAUACAUGAGUUGUCAAGUACUUGUACAGACAGAAAUUUUUGAACUUCGGGGUUGUGGUUUAACAAUUUAUUGGCAACACAGAUUGGUUUGCUAUUAUAAGCUUGCUUUUGUAAAAUCUUUUUAACACUGGCCUUCAUCCACAUGAACAUUGCUUUUCUGUUGAAUUUGAUCUUUAUAGUAAUCCAGGGUUGACCCAUGAUAGUAUAGGCCUAGAUUUGAUAACCCUCAAGAUUUUUCUAUUGCACACUUGAUGCCUCCAUCUACAAGAAAUAUAACUUUAUCGUUGUUAUUAGCAAUCUAAUACUACUUUUAUGUAUAAAAUUUUUGUAAAAGAAUAAGUGCUAUAACAUACCUUUUCACUGUCUUUCCAGUUGUAUUGUUUAUACUAUGAUUAUUUGAACCAUGCGAUGUGAUACUGUUGAUGGAAACCCUUUAUUAGGUAAAUUUCUCAUGGCCUAUACUGUUGCCCUUGUGGCAUUUUACUAGCGUGAUGGGGAGACCAUGGGGUUUGUCCCACUUGACACGUGGACGUGGCUAAGAUUAACAUUUUAACUUUGAUGUUCAAUAUGCAGGGUUUAGGGCAGAUAUGAAAAUAGAAUCUUUGAUGGUAAAUGCUUGUGAAAUGCUGAAACUUUGUUUAGGCAUAAUUUUUUGCUAUCAGCUAUAGUUAUUUCCCCCAACUUUUUUUUGUUUGUAUCUGAAUUUUCUGAACAGAUGCAAUUCAUUCAAUGCUUAUAUUCAUAUGAUCAGAAAUGUCACCACUCACCAUACACCUGAACUCUUUUCCAAAUGGAAUAAGGGUUUCCUCGAUUAGUCGGGAAUGAUGGUGUCUACACAACCAUUUGUGCGUUCUCGAACUUAGGGAGGCAGUGCCCAUAUGCAUGAUUUUUUGUUUGUUUGUGAUGUCAGCUGUAUGCAUACUCAUAACUGAUUGAAGUUGUGGUGAGAAUGCUUUAAUUAUGUAAAUACUUUUUUGGGUGUGCUUUUGAUGAUGAAGAUUUUCCUACUCCCAGUAGAUACCUUUCUGUUUCUGCUGCAAGUUUGUUAGAUAUGUGCGGUGGAGGGCCUCUAUGUCGAGUCAUUUACUACUUUGUUUAUGGUGUUGUAGCAUUAUACAUCUGGCUGAUAGAUACAAGAUUAUUGAGUCACAUUCAGGGAUAUCUGUCCCCUCGUUAUUGUUGGCAAUUCUUCUGUAGAAGUUAUGCUUAUCACUUGAGAGGAAUAGAAUAAUUACCAUGACAGUACGAGCUACAUAGUUUCCCGUUCUGUCACCAAUUAAAUAUUAAAGGUAUAGGCAAGCACAGGUAGCUGUGUUCCAAAUUCCAUUUAAUCAAUCAUGAGAGAUGUAUUAUAUAAAACAACACCAGGCACAAUCAUUGAUGUCUUUAUUGCAUAAAAUUUACAGAGGUAGUCAUUAUGUCUUAAUCUUAACAGCAAUUGUAAGCUUGUUGAUAGACAAUUUCAUACCCUAUUCUGUUGAAUUGAACAAUAUGGUUGUUGAACUACAGGAUCCCACACAUAGCAGCACGAUCAUAUGUUUUAACUGGUUCAUGACAGCUUUUCAGAAAUGAAAGCAUAGGUGCAUAUUGAGCAGUUCUUGUUAAUGCAGCUGUAAUCUGGUUCAUAAUUUAGUUUUUUAGUUUCUGAAUAAAUUAGAAAGAACAGGUGUAGACUGAUGCUAUAUGCUGUACAUUAUCAGUUCAAGGGAAUACCCUAAUUUCAUGACUUUGGCUGCUGGUUCACUGUAUUGAGGCUGUGGCUGGCUUAGCUGGAGACUGAUAGGUGCAUGUAAAUCAAAUCCAUUUCUGAUAGUGCGUGAAAGAUUGGUUGCUGCAUUUUCUUCAUUUGUACUCCUUGCUUCAUAAACCUGAUAUUCAUAAAACUUGAAGCCUUUUAGCUUCUAGAUAAAUAGUAGUAUUUAGCCUAAUGAAAAGUAAGUUCUACUUGAUAUGGCUGUAUCUGUAGAUUCUGUAUGUUCACUCUUGUUCAUCAUGCAUGCCUUACUUUGUUAGCAGAUGUGUAUGUAUUUAUGAGAAGAUUUUUAACAUA